rnacentral:rRNA from 1 species
AACGAACGCUGGCGGCAUGCCUAACACAUGCAAGUCGAACGAAGCCUUCGGGCUUAGUGGCGCACGGGUGCGUGACACGUGGGAAUCUGCCCUUCGGUUCGGAAUAACAGUUAGAAAUGACUGCUAAUACCGGAUGAUGACGUAAGUCCAAAGAUUUAUCGCCGAAGGAUGAGCCCGCGUAGGAUUAGGUAGUUGGUAGGGUAAUGGCCUACCAAGCCGACGAUCCUUAGCUGGUCUGAGAGGAUGAUCAGCCACACUGGGACUGAGACACGGCCCAGACUCCUACGGGAGGCAGCAGUGGGGAAUAUUGGACAAUGGGCGAAAGCCUGAUCCAGCAAUGCCGCGUGAGUGAUGAAGGCCUUAGGUUGUAAGCUCUUUACCAGGGAUGAUAAUGACAGUACCUGGAGAAUAAGCUCCGGCUAACUCCGUGCCAGCAGCCGCGGUAAU